rnacentral:sRNA from 1 species
GGAAGUAAAAGUCGUAACAAGGUUUCCGUAGGUGAACCUGCGGAAGGAUCAUUCACAAACGAGUGUUUUAUGGCACUCUUUAAAAAUCCAUAUCCACCUUGUGUGCAAUGUUUGUUGGGAAAGUCUUUUCUUUCCCUUCAUAAAUAUCAACCUAUAUCUUUAACAACAUUCGUCUGAUAACAUAUUAUGAAUAUACUUAAUUCAAAAUAUAACUUUCAACAACGGAUCUCUUGGCUCUCGCAUCGAUGAAGAACGCAGCGAAAUGCGAUACGUAAUGUGAAUUGCAGAAUUCAGUGAAUCAUCGAAUCUUUGAACGCAUAUUGCGCUCUUUGGUAUUCCGAAGAGCAUGCUUGUUUGAGUAUCAGUAAACACCUCAACCUCUCUUUUUUGAUAAAAAAAAGGGAGGGUGGACUUGAGCUAUCCCAACGACCUUCACCGGUAGGCGGGCGGCUUGAAAUGCAGGUGCAGCUGGACUUUUAUCUGAGCUAAAAGCAUAUCUAUUUAGUCCUCGUCAAACAGGAUUAUUACUUUUGCUGCAGCUAACAUAAAGGAUAAUUGUCCUCUUUGCUGACUGAUGCAGGAUUUUACGACACUUUAUGUGUUGUUCAACUCGAUCUCAAAUCAAGUAAGACUACCCGCUGAACUUAAGCAUAUCAAUAAGCGGAGGAAAAGAAACUAACAAGGAUUCCCCUAGUAACGGCGAGUGAAGCGGGAUGAGCUCAAAUUUGAAAUCUGGCUGGUUUACUAGUCCGAGUUGUAAUUUAAAGAAGCGUUUUCGGUGGCAGCCUGGGUAUAAAUCCUUUGGAAUAGGGUAUCAUAGGGGGUGAGAAUCCCGUCUUUGACCUAGUGCAUGCUACUAUGUGAUACGUUUUCAAAGAGUC